rnacentral:lncRNA from 1 species
AUUUAUGAAGGUAAAUAUUUUAUUUACACAAGCAUUUAGAUUUUGAUUGCUUCCUAAAACUAAUUUAUGGAGAGGCUUGCCUCAAAAAUUGGAGGCCAUUCUCACAGGCGGGCCUUCAAAAGGCCCUCAGGAUAAAUCAAACCUUCUACUAGGCUCAUAUAAAUCAAAACCCUAGCAAGCAUAUAUUCAUAUUCGUCGGGUGUCACAGUGUGUGCCUCCAGUGGUUCGGGUGGACUCAAGAAUAUAAUAACUAUAGAGGGGACGCAACGAUUUAUGCUGGUUUAGGCUAUCAGGACCCUACGUUCAGUAGCUGAUGAUCCUUAUACUUAAGAGCACUAAAAAUCUGGGGGGUUACAACAAAGUGUAAGAGAGGGAUUUGGUACGAGAUCACUCGGUGCUAAUCCUAGGGAAGCUUCACCGCUGGUGGAGCCUUCCCUCUCGGAAGAGGGGGAGAAGCUCUCGGCGCCCUUCUCUCGGUUGCUCUGCUCUCAAUGCAGAGCAGGAGCUGAUCACUAAGGACUCAAAUAAUCUGUCUGGGAUCGUCUGGAAUCCUCCUCCCCUCUCUAGGAUUAUGACCUCCCCUUAUAUCGAGGUAUGUCGGGUAUAAGGUGGUUUGCUAGAGUUGAUCCUAUGGUCUACAUGCACUGUAGUCUAGAAGGAUCUUGCAGCGAUGCCAUGUGGACCGUGACGAUGUCAUGGAGCCGAAGAAGCUCUGGACGGUCAUCCGCCUGCUCUAUUCUGACACACUAAGUGUCACAUUGUGUUGGUUUGGACUGGCCUCCACUAGGUGCACUUUUUGGAGGCUUCUUGGUGGUGAAGACAACCAGCUUGAGGGGCUGGCGCGUGAGCUUAGAAGCCCUUGAGCCCCUAAAGCCAGUGAAGGGAUUUGUCUUCUUGCGUCACGCCCGUGCCUGACCCCUGUCAGAGGAGCGGAUGACAGUGUCACGCUUGUGGAGUAGCGACGGGGGAGCCCUUGAGCCUUGGUGGCUCGGGGCAGUUGUGCCCACGUGAAAGGUCCUAAUAUGGCUAGAGGGGGGGUGAAUAGUCUAUUUAAAAAUUCUACAAACUCACUAGAGCAAAAGGUUAGUAAAAACCAAGCGAAGCUUUUUGCUCUAGCUCUAAAGGGGUGUUUGCAAGCCACCUACCCAACAAUUCUAGUUGCUAUGAUCACUAUGCACACAAGAACUAAGUCUCUACAAGUUACACUAGAGAACUAAGCUACACAAGGCAAAGUAAGCAACUAAACUAAUUACACUAGUUUGCGGUAAGUAAAGAUAGGACGAGAUAUUUAUACCGCCGUGUAGGGGAUGAACCAAUCACCAAUAUAAACAAUCAAGCACCGGGAGAAUGCCAAUCAAACACAAUUGAGACACCAAUUUUUCUCCCGAGGUUCACGUGCUUGCCGGCACGCUACGUCCCCGUUGUGUCGACCAACACUUGGUGGUUCGGUGGCUAAGAGGUGUAGCACGAACCUCGUCCUCACUAGGACACCACAAGAACCUACCCACAAGUGAGAUAACUCAAUGACACGAGCAAUCCACUAGAGUUACCUUUCGGCUUUCCGCCGGGGAAGGUACAAGACCCCUCACAAUCACCGGGAGAUGGCCACGAACAAUCACCAACUCGUGCCAAUACUCCUCCGCUGCUCCAAGCCGUCUAGGUGGCGGCAACCACCAAGAGUAAUAAGAAAACCGCAGCUAGAACGAUCCUCAAGUGCCACUAGAUGCAAUCACUCAAGCAAAUGCACUUGGAAUCACUCCCAAUCUCACAAAGAUGUUUAAUCUAUGAAGGAGAUGAGUGGGAGGUGUUUGCUUAGGCUCAUAAGGAUGUAAAGUAAGUUAGAAUGCCAAGAAUAUGAGCCCCAAGCCUGCCAAACACGUAUUUAUAGCCCCUCAAACAAAUAGAGCCGUUGGCUCUUUCACUGAGCAAACUGCGGGGUCACCGGACGCUCUUAAAGGGGCACCGGACGCUCAACACCAGCGUUCGGUGCUCCAACGUCAGCCAUGUGUUGCUUUUUGGAAAUCUCGUGUCAGAGUCUAACGGUCACCUGCAGUGCACCGGACGCUGAGCAAGUUGGCACCGGACGCGUCCGGUGCACACCGAUCUUAAACACAGAGAGGUCUGCAAAACGCGAGGUCACCGAACGCACACCACCGGACGCUCCAAGCUGCGUCCGGUGCUCAGCGGACUUAAACUCAGAGAGCUCUGCAAAACGGAUCUCACACCGGACACGGACCACCGGACGCUCAUGCCUGCGUCCGGUGCCUGUCGUCCGGUGCCUUACCCUAGCUGGGCCAGGCACUGUCUGCACCAGACGCUCAGACUCAGCGUCCGGUGCUCCAGAAGCCAGUGUCCGGCGAGAAACACUCUCGCGACUUCUCCAAAGUUCCCACCGACGCAAUAGAAAAUAUGCACUUUAUUUUCUCGAAAAGCGCUAAAUCCCGCCGAGCUUGAAUCCCAUCCUCUCUCUAACCUUCAAACUCCACCUCCUUCUCAAAGUGUGCCAACACCACAGUGUGUAAACCAACAUGUGCACGUGUGUUAGCAUUUUCACAAUCAUUUUCUUCGAAGGAGUUAAGUUAGCUCACUAGGUUCCAAAUGCAUGCACAUGAACAAUGACACCUAGUGGCACUUGAUAACCGCUUAGCCAAAGAAUUCCCCUCUUUAUAGUACGGCUAUCUAUCCUAAAUGUGAUCACACCCUCUAUGGUGUUUUGAUCACCAAAACCAAAACCCUAAGCAAUACAUUUGCCUUCAUCUCCAUAGGAUUUUGUUUUUCUCUUUCUUCUUUUCAAGUUGAGCACUUGAUCAUCACUUGCUCCAUUACUUUGGCAUGUACCAACCUCAUUAAGUCUACACACACUUAGUAUAGAGGUUAGCACAAGGGUUUCAUCAAUUAUCCAAAACCAAACUAGGGCUUUCACCACGCCUUGGCUAGCAUUGCAGGCUGGGAUCGGAUGGAGCCAAGGAUCAUGUCCAGACUCCUAUCGAUCAGGAGCCUGAGUCUCGAGUGAGCCCUUGAGUCCCGUGCAAAGGUGACAGGCGUGCUCGGGCUCGGCCUAAUACCUUAGCCGAAGGGUACGCGUGAGUGUAUCCAAUGGCUAUAGCCCCCAAGCCCCUGGGCAAUCCUAGAAGGGUCGAUUGGGGGGGUCUCUCGGCCAAGAACCUUUGAUCCUGAGACUUAAUAUACCCUAAUGUUUGGAUCUCAUUAGGUUUCUUCCCUAAUCUCACAACCUCUCUCUCUCUCUCUCUCUUAGCUGUAUCUUCUCUAUCCGUUGAUGGGGAGUUAGUGUUUCUUCUCUAAUCUCAUAACCUCUCUCUCUUAGCUCUCUCUUCUGUCAUGCCCUGUUGCUGCCGACAAUCACCGCCGACGUGAGGAGAUCAAGGAGUGGGGAACGAGCAAGGAAAGCUUCCUCUAUCUCAAAUUGAUAUUGUUAGAUUUGGAAUAGCUGCCAUGCGGCUUACAACUCAAGCUAAAUAUCUCGACUGGCCUCAGGCCCACAUGUAAUCCACACAAAAUCUCCAAGAUCCAUCUUUCUUUUUCACUAGAAGGACAGGGGAAGCAAAAGGCCUAUGAGUGUGGGUGGUAAGCCCAGCUUCCAACAAUUGUUUGACUUGGUUUUCUACUUCUGUUUUAUGUUGUGGAGAGUAGUGCUAGGGCCUAGCAUUCACUGCAUCAGGACCAGAGGAAUAGCAUGAUCAUAGCUUCUAAUGGGUGGUAAGGUUUUGGGAUCUUGGAAAACAACAUGGUAUUGCUGUAGGAUUGUUUGGAUGGAAGGAGUUAUGGGUGAUUCUUUGGCUUGGUAGUGUUCCGGUGAUUCAGAGUCCACAAUCACAAAAUCCAGGUGUCAUUACCUUUAGUAGCAUUAACUAGCCAUGUUGCUGAUAUAGGAGUUGCCUUGAGAGGAGGGUUAGGUAAUCCCUGAAUCUUCACUUUAUGACCUUGCAGAGAAAAUUCCAGUGUGUUGAGAUUCCAAUCACAUUCUAUUGGACUAUGCAGUUUCAAAUAGUCAUGACCAAGGAUGGCAUCAUAAGGACCCAUGUCUAGUACAAGCAUGUCACUAGAGAGUGUGUGUCCUCGAAUAUACCACUGUAAAUUUUGCACUUGAGCUGAUGCUGUAAGCCGCUGUCCAUUUGGUAACUUGACUCUUUUGGGAGAAAUUGGAAUAAUAUGCAGGUUAUCCAAAGUGACAAAAUGAGAACUGACAAAGCUGUGAGAACUCUCUAAAUCCAAUAAAUUAAAAUCAGCAUGACCUUGUUGGCUUGUUGUAAACCAUGGAUUUCAAUUUGAUGCUGUUGUCAGUAUCCACACUUGACAACAUUGAGGGAUUGCGAACACAAGGUCGAGAAGUACCCUUCUGGUACGUUUUGUGAUGAGUUAUUGUCAACGUGAUUCACGAAUAGGUUGAGUUGGUGACUAACAUUACCAUGGCGAAAGCUAUGUGUGCGACAUGUCUCUUGGCUUGUGGUGUUCAGCUGUGGAGCUCGGAGGCGGUGGUCGACGGCGAGGUGAAGGUCAAGUAGAGACGUGCCGUGCUGAUGGACCUGGAGCGGUGAAGGACGGACGUGAGGCUUAGACUGACGGACCAGGAGGCCGGGUGACCAGCCAUAGUGGCUGACAUCUGGGACAUCGACAAGUGCAAGUGUACAUGGGAGUGACCGUGUUGACCAAGUCAAGACGGCGGACGCGAGUCGAGCGAGGCUCAGGAGGACUUAGCGGGCCGGCCAGUCGAGGACGGCGGUGACACGUGUCGAGUGGCGGGGAAGCGUAUGGAGUACGCUACUCGCGGCGGGUUUCGCGGGUUUGGGCCUCAAAACCCGGACGGAGGUCCCGAUGCGGACGGAUGGCACGUGGCGGCAUCAGUGAGAUCGCUUCGGAGCGAGGCUACCGGUGAGAAGGCGCGGUGGCCGUCGGAUUUAGGUCAUAUCGAGUUGGACUAGAAUGUUCCUGGGGCUAGCUAGUUCGCUCAAAAAUAUCUAGAGACAUUUGGGGAAUAUGUAAUAUACCUGAUAAAUAAACCGGGGACUUCCCCAUCUCCCUAACCCCCUCUGCCACCGCUCUCUACCUCUCUCCAUCUCUCUCUCGUAGGUCCUCCCUAUAGUUUUUUCUUUUUUGCUUUCUCUAUGAACUGAAUCUUUCAUGGUGUAAUUUUCUGCUGAGAUUUGGUAUGGGAAUGGAGGCCCAAAUCCUCCAGUUGUCCUCCGGAAUUCCUCAAUCUUGUCUGUGAUUUUUGUUCUCACUGUGUUCUUGAGUUUUCCCCUUUUUAGUUCUUGGUCACGAUUUGAUUUUCCCAGAGUUUGAGUUGAUCUCAAGCGAUGAUUUUUGGGGAAUAGUUUCGUUGCGAGUUGAAUUACAUCUGUGUCAAAUUUGGGAGCGGUUCCUUUUGAUUUCACUGAGUUCUAGUCGAUUUUUGGAUGCGUCCCUUUCUGUUCGUCGCUUCUGUUCUUCGUUGCAGGAGGCACUGAAAUGUGGAGUUUUUACAGCAGCACUACCAGCGCCGGCGCAUAGGUGCUGUGCGUGCUCCAUAGAGCAGUGCUCGCUCUCUGUCUACUGCUGUUGGUUCUCCGGUCGAGCUCGUCGCUGGAAUACCGGUGAAGUCCAUGACUGUUCUUUGUUCGUCAGUUUUCUGUUCGUGUCUGUUCUAGCGAGUGAAAAGGCUAGCUGCGAGACUAGCUAGAGCGAUCCAGUGUCUGAGUUCCUAGCACCAUGCGGUGCCUUUGUUCAGGAAGCUGCUUGCCCUGAUGACUGCCUGUUGUGCUUUUCCAUUGUGCUUGAUGCUUGGCGUGUGCAGUCCCAUGCCGUGUAUUUCUGUGUGCUGCAGAGUAGAAUAGACUCCAGGGAAGCAGAUUCAAUUUGCAGUUGCAUGGUCCAGUGCUUGAAGUUUUUAGAUCACGGUGAGCAGACCCACUGUCUUGGUUUGAUUUGUUCGGUAGCAUCAGCUGUGUCUAUUGUUCCUUGUUUUUCUGUCUGAGCAUUAUCAGUUCCUCGUAGGCUUUAAGUGCAGCAGGUAGUUUUUGUUUUUGUGCCUUCUCUGAUUGGUCCUUUGCUGCAGCAGAAAUCGUUGCUUGGUUGGAGUUUUGUUUAGGAGUUUCAGAAAGCUAGCACUUUCUCUCAGUUUGGUCCAAGAGAACAAAGACACUCAAGCGCAGUGAACUGUUCAAUAUUUGUGCAGUAUAAAAAUUUUGGCCAGUCCUUCUCUUAUUUUUCUCUGAUUUUUCAUUGGUUUUUGGAGGCUCUGAUUUUCCGUUUCGCGCGUUUGCUGGUCGUUCGAGCUCCGUUUUGUGUUUCGUUUGUUGCGUUAGCUUCCUACCGUUCCAAAGAAUUUCUCUAGAUACUCUCGUCACUAGUUGGCUUGAGUAUUUUAGUUUUGGUUCGUGCUUGUGCUUGCCGGUGAUUUUGGGACAGCGGCCAAAUAUUUUCGAAAGAAAUUUACGGCUCUCAUUCACCCCCCUCUGGUCGCCGUUUUCGGUCCUUCAGGGAUAAUUGGCAAAAAUCCGGAGUUAGAAUAUCUUCAACAGCUAAUUGAUUGAGCAUGUCCCCUAUGAUCUCUUUCUUGCCUAGAUCAUUCACUACCAAUGCAUUCAUUUGAGGUUUCUGUCCCUUGGAACACACCUCCUGGUGGCCAGGCUCAUACUUUUCUCCACAAGCAUAACAGAGAUUGUUAGCUUUUUUGUAAUCUCUGAACUGCCUAUCCUCUGAAGGUUGUAAUGUAUUGGUUUGUGGAGUUGGAUUAUUCUGCUCUGGAUGAUUGGGCCCUGUUGAACGGAGGAACCUCUAAUGUUUCAGUUUCCCUCUUUCCAAAGUCCUCUACAGCGACAUGUACUUAUGUAAGAUCCAUAUAAGAUGAAGAUGCUGCACAAUUGGAUGGUUUGUUCUGAAACCCAACUCAAUGGAGCUAGCUAGGGCCACCCACAUGCUAGUGAAAUAGUCACUGUGACCUCAAAGCAGUCAGAAGAGCCAGGCCCCUUGUACAGUAUAUACAUACAGGGUUCGAUGGUUCGUACAGUACUUCAUAAAGACUUGGAUCUUGUGUAACCAUAAAAAAGAAUAGCUGAAGACUUUUUUGAGGGAAUAGCUGAAGACUUAUAUGCUAUAUUUAAUUGGCCUACCAUAUCUAUCGAUCCAAUCCUUUUCAUACACAACAGCGCAUGCUGUCUCAGAGACUUCAGCAAUUUGCACUGAUUGAUGAUCGCAGC